CCUACGGGUGGCAGCAGUGAGGAAUAUUGGUCAAUGGGCGCUAGCCUGAACCAGCCAAGUCGCGUGAAGGAUGACUGCCCUAUGGAUUGUAAACUUCUUUUGUAUGGGAGUAAAAUACGCCAUGUGUGCUGCUUUGCAUGUACCUUAUGAAUAAGCAUCGGCUAACUCCGUGCCAGCAGCCGCGGUAAUACGGAGGAUCCGAGCGUUAUCCGGAUUUAUUGGGUUUAAAGGGAGCGUAGGCGGGGUGUUAAGUCAGUGGUUAAAGUUGGGGGCUCAACCCUAAACGUGCAGUUGAUACUGGUAUUCUUGAGUACAGGAGAGGUAGGCGGAAUUCGUGGUGUAGCGGUGAAAUGCAUAGAUAUCACGCAGAACUCCGAUUGCGAAGGCAGCAUGCUGGACUGUAACUGACGCUGAUGCGCGAAAGUGUGGGUAUCAAACAGGAUUAGAUACCCCUGUAGUC
rnacentral:rRNA from 1 species